AUCUUUUCUUUGUUUGCUUGUUUUUUUUGUUUCAGAUCCAUUUUAUUCUAACAAAGAACGAGUUGGAAUACUUUAAAAAGAAAACUCCAAAAGUUCUAAGUAGCUUAUGCUACAAGGAACUAUCUGCGAUGGGUUCAGUAUUGUCGAAAUUCUAUUCCUUCUAUCUUCAAAAAUUGGUGCCAAAAAGUCCAAUAAAAGGAGAAGGAGAUGAGAUUGCGGGGCCAUCGACGGACAAAAAACGCAAGACGGAAACUGACAGUGACAAUGACAUACACAGAAAAAAAAUUAAAAUGACAAAAAACAAUAUUAUUCAUGACGACAGUGACGAUACUGACACAGACAACAAAAACAUUAGAAUCAAACAAAAAAACGAGACUGACGACGACAGUGAUGACAGUUAUUUUACCGAAAUUAACGACACUGACACUACUACAGACGAGGAACACAUUUUUAAACACAAGCACACACACAAAGACAGUGACGACAGUGACGACGACGAUGACAAUACCGAUGAUGAGAAAAAAUUCGACUAUUACGACAAAAUCGACUUGAAAAAAUUUACUGCCAGCUUGGAUGAAGGUGUCGACUUUUUUUUAAAAAUGGAGUCCGAUUUCCAAUGAAAAAUUUCAAUAAGAAAAUUAACAUCAUCAAGAAGAGAAGGAAGGUGAGAAACGAAGCGUACUUCAAGAAGAACGCGAGGAUAUUUGAGCCCGGGGAAAUUUUGAAAAUAUUCAAUUAUUUCCUCAUGGAGAAUGAGGUAAAAAUAUCCAAGCCACACCUCACUGCCCUCUCUCGCGUAAGUUGAAAUUUUUUUCCUUUUUUCUUCUUCUCUUUUUAUUUACAAGAAUUGGUGCCAAAUAGCCCAUAUAAAGUAAAGAAGAAAAGCAAUUUGCGGGGCCAUCGACCACACAGACGACGAACAGAAAACGCAAGAGAAAUGACAAUGGCAUGAACAAAAAAAUUCUAUUCCUUCUAUCUCCAAAAAUUGGUGCCAAAAAGCCCAAUGAAAGGAGAAGGAGAUGAAAUUGCGGGGCCAUCGACGGACAGAAAACGGAAGACAGACAAUGACAGUGACAAUGACAGUGACAGAAAAAAAAUUAAAAUAAAAAAAAAUAAUAUUAUUGACGAUGACACGGACGACACUGACACAGACACAGAAAACAAACACAUUAAAAUCGCACACAAAGACACAACUGACGACGACAGUGAUGACAGUUUCUUCACAGAAAUCGACGACAGUGACUCUACCACAGAUGACGAACAAGUUUAAAAAAAAAAAACCAGACGUGACAGUGAUAGUGACAGUAACGACGAUGACGAUACUGACAUUACCGAAGAAGACGAAAAAAUCGAUUUUUAUGACAAAAACGAUUUGAAAAAAUUUACAUCCAGACUUGUGGAGGGUGUCGAUUUUUAUUAUUCGGAAGAAAUUCGUUUUCCAAUGGAAAUGUUACAUAAAAAAACGAACAAGAUGGAGAAGAGAAGGAAGGUGAAAAGUGAUGCAUACGUCAGGAAGAACGCGAGGAUAUUUGAGCCCGGGGAAAUUUUGAAAAUAUUCAAUUAUUUCCUCAUGGAGAAUGAGGUGAAAAUAUCGAAACCACACCUCACUGCCCUCUCUCGCAAAUUCUAUUCCUUCUAUCUCCAAAAAUUGGUGCCAAAAAGCUCAAUGAAAGGAGAAGGAGAUGAAAUUGCGGGGCCAUCGACGGACAGAAAACGGAAGACAGACAAUGACAGUGACAAUGACAUACACAGAAAAAAAAUUAAAAUGACAAAAAACAAUAUUAUUGAUGACGACAGUGACGAUACUGACACAGACAACAAAAACAUUAGAAUCAAACAAAAAGACGAGACUGACGACGACAGUGAUGACAGUUAUUUUACCGCAAUUAACGACACUGACAUUACUACAGACGACGAACACAUUUUUAAACACAAACACACACACAAAGACAGUGACGACGACGAUGACAAUACCGAUGAUGAGAAAAAAUUCGACUAUUACGACAAAAACGACUUGAAAAAAUUUACUGCCAGCUUGGUUGAAGGUGUCCACUUUUUUUUUUAAAAUGGAGUCCGAUUUCCAAUGAAACAUUUCAAUAAGAAAAUGAACAUCAUCAAGAAGAGAAGGAAGGUGAGAAACGAAGCGAACAUCAAGAAGAACGCGAGGAUAUUUGAGCCCGGGGAAAUUUUGAAAAUCUUUAAAUAUUUCCUCAUGGAGAAUGAGGUAAAAAUAUCGAAACCACACCUCACUGUCCUCUCUUCCCUAUUGGAAAAUCGGACCAUCAAGUCGAUAAAGUCGUUUUUGUCUGGUCGUUUGAAAAAACAUUAUCAAACAUUAAUUAACGAUUCAAAAUUAAAGAAAGGAGAGAAAAAAAAGUUUAUUUGUAAUGUUUGAAAAAAUUUUUUAUUUCUCACUUGUUUUUCACCUUCUUUUCCAGGUGCAUCUUUUCAUCACUAGAAACGAGAUGGAAUAUUUCAAGGCAAACUCUCCAAAAGUUUUAAGUAGCUUAUGCUACAAAGA